AUUGAACGCUGGCGGCAUGCUUUACACAUGCAAGUCGAACGGCAGCGCGGGCUUCGGCCUGGCGGCGAGUGGCGAACGGGUGAGUAAUACAUCGGAACGUGCCCAGUAGUGGGGGAUAGCUCGGCGAAAGCCGGAUUAAUACCGCAUACGACCUGAGGGUGAAAGGGGGGGAUCUUCGGACCUCGCGCUAUUGGAGCGGCCGAUGGCCGAUUGGCUAGUUGGUGGGGUAAAGGCCUACCAAGGCGACGAUCCGUAGCUGGGCUGAGGGGACGACCAGCCACACUGGGACUGAGGCCCGGCCCAGACUCCUACGGGAGGCAGCAGUGGGGAAUUUUGGACAAUGGGCGAAAGCCUGAUCCAGCAAUGCCGCGUGUGUGAUGAAGGCCUUCGGGUUGUAAAGCACUUUUGGCGGGAACGAAAAGGACUGUGCCAAUACCACGGUUCGAUGACGGUACCCGCAGAAUAAGCACCGGCUAACUACGUG
rnacentral:rRNA from 1 species